UCAAAUUGACGGAUCAAACAAAAAAGAUUAGUACCAGCACAUUCAUCUUUGCCGCUUUCUCUUCAUGAUUGUUGUGUUGUGAUGUGAUAUUAUUAACUGACCGGUAGCUUAGAGUGCUGUUAAACUUCGGACUUGAGAGGUAUAAGAUUAAUGUGUGAAUGCUCGGGUUGAACUCUCCAUGUCAGAUGGGAUAAAAGAAUGAUAUCAAUUUUCGUCCUCGUUAAUCAUCCAUGCUCGAGGAUAACAAGGUAAUGUUUCCUACUUGUCAUGCAAUUCCUUCUUUGGAAGUAAAUCAUGUCUUCUGAAUCUGAAUGGAAGCCUCAACCUGCCAGUGCCACUAGAGCGUCGUGAAAAGCACUUCAG
rnacentral:misc_RNA from 1 species